CGUAGGGUGCAGGCGUUAAUCGGAAUUACUGGGCGUAAAGCGUGCGCAGGCGGUCUUUUAAGUCAGAUGUGAAAUCCCCGGGCUUAACCUGGGAACUGCGUUUGAAACUGGAAGGCUAGAGUGUGGCAGAGGGGGGUGGAAUUCCACGUGUAGCAGUGAAAUGCGUAGAUAUGUGGAGGAACACCGAUGGCGAAGGCACGCCCCCUGGGCUAACACUGACGCUCAUGCACGAAAGCGGUGGGGAGCAACAGGAUUAGAUACCCUGGUAGUCCACGCCCUAAACUAUGUCAACUGGUUGUCGGGGGAAGCAAUUCCUUGGUAACGAAGCUAACGCGUGAAGUUGACCGCCUGGGGAGUACGGCCGCAAGGUUA
rnacentral:rRNA from 1 species